rnacentral:rRNA from 1 species
GACGUAGGUGGCGAGCGUUGUUCGGAAUCACUGGGCAUAAAGCGCGCGUAGGCGGCCCCAUAAGUCAGGUGUGAAAGCCCUCGGCUCAACCGAGGAACUGCGCCUGAUACUGCGGGGCUUGAGGUCCGGAGGGGAGAGUGGAAUUCCCGGUGGAGCGGUGAAAUGCGUAGAGAUCGGGAAGAACGCCGGCGGCGAAAGCGACUCUCUGGUCGGAAUCUGACGCUGAGGCGCGAAAGCUAGGGGAGCAAACGGG